rnacentral:lncRNA from 1 species
CCCCAGGUCCGGCACCCAGCAGCUGAUUGUGUCAAGUGCCCGUCAGGCAACAGGGCGGUGCCGGCCCCUGGUCCUCCCGUUUGCUGAUACGUGGCCUGGCUUUUGAGUUGUUCUCCGCAAAGCUCAGUGUGACAGCACCAUUGCUGGUAUGUGGCUAACCCUGUGGGCCCAGGGAUGUGCAGCCGGAGCCACAAUGUGAACCACUGCCUCAUACUGAUUCCCCAACAGCCGAUGACAAUAUUUCAGCAGAUCCCUGGGAUCCUGUCUCCGUUCGCUCAGCCUGUAAGGCCAGGACACGUCCGAGAAGGUAGGA